rnacentral:rRNA from 1 species
CUUCCCAUCCCGAACAGAGAAGUUAAGCCCCGCACCGCCGAUGAUACUGGGUCAACCCCCGGAAAAGUAGGUAGCCGCCACGA